rnacentral:tRNA from 1 species
ACCGCGGUAGCUCGGCUGGUAGAGCAUCUGCUCGGGGUGCGGAGGUCGCCGGUUCGAUUCCGGCUCACUGUG